AGAGUUUGAUCAUGGCUCAGGACGAACGCUGGCGGCAUGCCUAACACAUGCAAGUCGAACGAGAAAGUUCCUUCGGGAGCAAUUAAAGUGGCGCACGGGUGAGUAACGCGUAGACAAUCUGCCCUUCAGUCUGGGACAACUUUUCGAAAGGAGAGCUAAUACCGGAUAACAAUGCAUGACACAAGUUGUAUAUUUGAAAGCUUUAUGUGCUGAAGGAGGGGUCUGCGUCCCAUUAGCUAGUUGGUAGGGUAAAGGCUUACCAAGGCAACGAUGGGUAGCGGGUUUGAGAGGUCGAUCCGCCACACUGGAACUGAGACACGGUCCAGACUCCUACGGGAGGCAGCAGUGGGGAAUAUUGCACAAUGGAGGAAACUCUGAUGCAGCAAUGUCGCGUGAGUGAAGAAGGCCCUUGGGUCGUAAAGCUCUUUUAUGGGGGAAGAUGAUGACGGUACCCCAAGAAUAAGCACCGGCUAACUAUGUGCCAGCAGCCGCGGUAAUACAUAGGGUGCGAGCGUUGUUCGGAAUUACUGGGCGUAAAGGGCGCG
rnacentral:rRNA from 1 species